rnacentral:rRNA from 1 species
AGUGAACGCUGGCGGUAGGCCUAACACAUGCAAGUCGAACGGCAGCACAGUAAGAGCUUGCUCUUACGGGUGGCGAGUGGCGGACGAGUGAGGAAUACAUCGGAAUCUACUUUUUCGUGGGGGAUAACGUAGGGAAACUUACGCUAAUACCGCAUACGACCUACGGGUGAAAGCAGGGGAUCUUCGGACCUUGCGCGAUUGAAUGAGCCGAUGUCGGAUUAGCUAGUUGGCGGGGUAAAGGCCCACCAAGGCGACGAUCCGUAGCUGGUCUGAGAGGAUGAUCAGCCACACUGGAACUGAGACACGGUCCAGACUCCUACGGGAGGCAGCAGUGGGGAAUAUUGGACAAUGGGCGAAAGCCUGAUCCAGCCAUACCGCGUGGGUGAAGAAGGCCUUCGGGUUGUAAAGCCCUUUUGUUGGGAAAGAAAAGCAGCAGGUUAAUACCCCGCUGUUCUGACGGGACCCAAAGAAUAAGCACCGGCUAACUUCGU